UACAGAGGUCUCAAGCGUUGUUCGGAUUCAUUGGGCGUAAAGGGUGCGUAGGCGGCGCGGUAAGUCGGGUGUGAAAUCUCGGAGCUUAACUCCGAAACUGCAUUCGAUACUGCCGUGCUUGAGGACUGGAGAGGAGACUGGAAUUUACGGUGUAGCGGUGAAAUGCGCAGAUAUCAGGAGGAACACCGAUGGCGAAGGCAGGUCUCUGGGCCAUAACUGACGCUGAGAAGCGAAAGCAUGGGGGAGCGAACAGG
rnacentral:rRNA from 1 species